GCCGGUCACUUCAAGUAUGGCUGCUACGUGUGGCAGGCGUGCUGUGUCACUGGCUGAUCUCGAUAUUAUUCUGCAAGAACAAGGAAGGUUGUGGGGGUUUCUCAGCAACCACGGAUCGGUAAUCAAGAUUUUCAAGUGUAAGUGACACACGUGAUUGGUGAUGAACGCUGCGUGUCACCCGAGAGGCUGUGGCGAGCUGGGCGUGGUGUAGGCCGGGCAGGAGGAUAGCAACCUGCCCUUAACCUUGCCUCACGUAGCUCUCCUCUGCUCUGAGCACCAGAGUCGGGAUGGACGCGGGCGUGGGACGAGCUGGCGCCGAUUGCAUUCAUGGUCCAUGGAGGGCCCCGCGCUGGUCCCUCUUGCCGGCACCGGAAUCACCGAUAAAGACGGGAAGGAGGCAGGGAAGUAACACCAAAACGCCAAACUUCUCAAACUUCACGCCAAAGAAAGCACCGGGUUAGACACGCCGCGUUCAUUACAAUGGGUAGGGAGAACGAGCAGGGUAACUCCAUCAUCACCUCCGUCAGGAACAGCUGUGCGCAUGUGGUGGGGCCCAUCCAGUUGUUCAGGCUGCUCUCAAACAUAAUAAGGUCCACAAUACAAUUCUGCCCUUGCUACGUGAUACAGCUGGGAUAGAGACCACGUAAGUUCAUAAAAGCGCAGUAACACAACACUGAAAUUGGCUCGUUGCCUUGAAUUUCCGGAGGUUGACUUCCUCGUUCAUGUUUCCUUCAUCUAUGGCGGUGUAUUUUGACUGUCAAGUACAAAAUAGAAGAAAGGAAACCGCCGAAGAUAAAAAGUCAAAUGGAUGGAAAGAGAAUAAAGAAAGGAAAACUACCACUAGUGAGCUUCACGAACCUGACCAUGGCGGCGAAGGCAGCAAAACCAGUCAAGAACAUACGAAAGAAGGAAAAGAAGGGAGAACAGUCGUGAAUAAGGAGACAAACGGGAGAAAAAAAAAAGAAUAAAGAAAAGAAAACUGCCACAAAUAAACCCUUGGAAACUCGACCAUAGCGGGGGAGUAAGAAAAGAGAGCUGGGAAAGUUGAACAGAGAAGCGAUCACUGUGCUGUGCUGUGUUGUGUUGUGCUGUGUUGUCCUGUGCUGUGUUGUGUUGUGCUGUGCUGUGCUGUGCUGUGUUGUGCUGUGCUGCGCUGUUCUGUGCUGUGCUGUGCUGCAAACUGCCGGACGCCAAUCUCUCAACUUACUUACCCUUUCUCUUUGAUCUCGGCUUUUCCUUCCUGCUUUGUUUGACUCCUCGCGGCUCGAUCAGAAAAGAGCUGUAUUUUUAUCUUAUCGCAAAAAGACAAAAGGGGAAGGGGUAAGGAGAAGGGGUAGAUGAAAACGAUUACCCAGCAGAGGGAAAGAAACAGGAAAAGAAACGAUUGAUUGUAAAAAAAAACUUUUGUUGUAUUCAUAUAUUCUGGAAAAGCGAGGUAUCAUUA